GACGAACGCUGGCGGCGUGCUUAACACAUGCAAGUCGAACGGAAAGGCCCUGCUUUUGUGGGGUGCUCGAGUGGCGAACGGGUGAGUAACACGUGAGUAACCUGCCCUUGACUUUGGGAUAACUUCAGGAAACUGGGGCUAAUACCGGAUAGGAGCUCCUGCUGCAUGGUGGGGGUUGGAAAGUUUCGGCGGUUGGGGAUGGACUCGCGGCUUAUCAGCUUGUUGGUGGGGUAGUGGCUUACCAAGGCUUUGACGGGUAGCCGGCCUGAGAGGGUGACCGGCCACAAUGGGGACGGGAUACGGCCCAGACCCCUACGGGAGGCAGGAGGGGGGAAUAAUGCAAAAUGGGCGGAAGCCUGAUGCAGCAACGCCGGGUGCGGGAUGACGGCCUUCGGGUUGGAAACCGCUUUCGCCUGUGACGAAGCGUGAGGGACGGGAAUGGGUAAAGAAGCACCGGCUAACUACGU
rnacentral:rRNA from 1 species